UACGUAGGGUGCAAGCGUUGUCCGGAAUUAUUGGGCGUAAAGAGCUCGUAGGCGGUCUGUUGCGUCGGCUGUGAAAACCCGGGGCUCAACCCCGGGCCUGCAGCCGAUACGGGCAGACUAGAGUUCGGCAGGGGGAGACUGGAAUUCCUGGUGUAGCGGUGAAAUGCGCAGAUAUCAGGAGGAACACCGGUGGCGAAGGCGGGUCUCUGGGCCGAUACUGACGCUGAGGCGCGAAAGCGUGGGGAGCGAACAGG
rnacentral:rRNA from 1 species